rnacentral:lncRNA from 1 species
AGGUGGCAUGGUUGUCGUUGCUUUUGAUUAAUGUCCUUCGAAUGGGUUCAAGCCCUUUCCUCUAGUACCAAUCUAUUGGUGUAAGAUUUCAUAAGGUGUCGGGAUGUUGAAAUCGAUGGCAAAGUGGGGUCUUCUGGGAUGUGACCUAUAAAAAAGUUUCAGUUGGAGGUUGCUCCGGCAGGGACCCUUUGAAGCUCAAGUCAGAACUCUCGUUCCACAAAUGGAGGAGUGUGAGAGGCAGAAUAAUGAUGUACCUAUUUUAGGAUCUCCUUUAGGCCUCCUUUUAUAGACGGAGGUGGUUGCUUUAGUUGACAGGUUGGUUGGCACGAUUUCAUCCGACUGGAGCAUAAUUCACGUAUAGUGACAG